UAAAUCCACUUCAGUUGGUGUAGAUGAAGGGGUUUUAAGCCUUGAGACAAUUGAGACAACGAUUGUGUAUGUGUGCCAUUCAGAGGACGAAUAGGCUCAACAGUUUACCACAGUUUGCCACGUGUAUCCAGAAUAGUCCACCAUCCAAAGGACAUCCAGAUAACUUGACACAACUGUGGUAGGCAUUGGAGUCAACAUGGGCCAGCAUCCCUGUGGAACGCUUUCGACACCUUGUAGAGUCCAUGCCCUGACAAAUUGGAGCUGUUCUAAGGGCAAAAGUGGGGGCAACUCCUAAUGUUCUGUACACUCAUUGUAGAUGAGUCCCAGGCCAUGGAGGAGCCGUGCCACCUCAAUGAGCGCUGCUCCAACACUUUAGGGGCUUACGGGUGCCCUAGCCAGGUGACCAUGGCCUGUACGGAUAUCAACGGGUGCAAAGUGGACAACCCCUGGCACGUCAAUGCCACCUGUUUGAACACAGUGGGCUCCCAUACCUGUACCUGUAAGCACGGAUUCACAGGCAACGGCUCCAAGUGUGAGGAUGUGGACGAGUGUGUUGCAAAUGGCACCUGCCACCCGUGGUUACUGUGUGCUAAUGUGCACGGCGACUUCUCCUGCUCUUGCCAGCAGGGCUUCACCGGGGACGGCUUCUGGUGCCAGGAUGUGAAUGAGUGUGCCCACUCCAACGCCGCCACCUGUCCCCCCCCAUGUUAGAGUUUGUCAACUCCCCCGGAGCCUACGUUUGUUCCUGUAUGAACAAGACAGUGACCUAUAAUGACACCUGUGUGGCCCCCAGUAUCUAAUGUGCCUCUGCCUGCCACCUUCAUGGGCUCAGCCAAUCCUCAUCCGCUGGCUAACUAGGCUUUGAGGGGGAUUGACUCACCUGCUCUGACUUAAGUGAGCGACAGGAGAGUGUGUGCUCCCAGAAUGAGACUGUGUGUAUAUCCCAGGCUCUUUUGCCUGCCUCUGCAAAGUGGGCUACAGACAGAACGAGACAAACUGCGCUGGUAAGAAGACUUGAUUUAGUUCACAAAAACUACCAGAACCACUCAAUAUUUCACAAUAACCAUUCAAUUGCAAAGUCCUGUCUUUCUUUAUUCAAAAUCUGGUGUUUGAUCUUACUUAGAAUAUGUUGUUCUGUAAAAUUGAUAAUGUGGUAAGACGGUGUUCAGGAGACUAAUUCUCUCUCUCGCCUCUCUCUCUUUUCCGAUAUGGAUGAGAGUGAAUCUGGAGAAAAGGAGUGCUGUAUGUUUUCCCAGUGUUUGAGAGUCACCUCUUGUUUCUGUCGCCGUGGCUUUGCUGGUGAUGGGAAGAAUUGUUCUGACAUUGAUGAGUGCCAAACCCAAAAUGGAGGAUGCCACCCUGUUGCCAGCUGCUACAACAUGGUUGUGUCACAUCUGCUCCCACUGCGCCCUCUGGUGUUCAUCCGGUGUCAUCCUAACCCGCAGUUCUCCCCCUGUUCUCUCUCUCUCUCUCUCUCUUGGUGUGAUUGUGUGGUUGGAGACAGGUGUGCUGGAGUCAGAGCAGAUCCCCAUCAGCUGAAAAUCGUCCCAUAAAUCAAGACUACAUAUACUCAUUCCUGCCACCUCCACUCUGCCAGAUUGUAAUCUCUGCUCAUUACCUCUCUGGCUCCUGUCUCCUGUACCACAACUCACCACCCAACCACCUUGCUCUGGACUUCAUUCACCACCACACCCUUGGAUUUCCCUCAGGACCUGUUUACCCUGUUCAACUCAGUCAACUCCAACCUCACUCGACACUUAGGGUUUUUUCUGCAACUCAUCUGAGCAACCCCGGUUCUGCACUCCAUAUCGUUCUGUGUACAAUAAACAUUUUGGUUAAUUCA